rnacentral:lncRNA from 1 species
AACCAAAUCAGCCUUCCUAGGAGUACUGGACUCAAUCAAAUGAAGUUUCUUUGUAGGUGCGGACUCGACCAAAUCAGGCUUCUGUAACGGUUCUUGUUCGAUUUUUUUCAGGAGGUCCAGACACAAUCAAAUCAGGCUUUGGUGCAGAUGACUCGAUCAAAUCAUACUUCAGUAUGCUCACAGUAAUCACAUAAAGUAAGCUACCAUUUGAGGUGGAUUCACCAUCCGGCAGGCUUUCGCCAUUGCUUCUGCUGCACUCAUCAUCAUGCUGGCUCUGGACAUUGCUCUCACUGCAUGCAUCACCAUGUGGACUGUCAGUGUUAUAAGGAGCAUUCUCACUGAUAUUGGCGGUAAGUGGUGAUC